UUGAACGCUGGCGGCAGGCCUAACACAUGCAAGUCGAGCGGAUGAAGGGAGCUUGCUCCUGGAUUCAGCGGCGGACGGGUGAGUAAUGCCUAGGAAUCUGCCUGGUAGUGGGGGAUAACGUCCGGAAACGGGCGCUAAUACCGCAUACGUCCUGAGGGAGAAAGUGGGGGAUCUUCGGACCUCACGCUAUCAGAUGAGCCUAGGUCGGAUUAGCUAGUUGGUGGGGUAAAGGCCUACCAAGGCGACGAUCCGUAACUGGUCUGAGAGGAUGAUCAGUCACACUGGAACUGAGACACGGUCCAGACUCCUACGGGAGGCAGCAGUGGGGAAUAUUGGACAAUGGGCGAAAGCCUGAUCCAGCCAUGCCGCGUGUGUGAAGAAGGUCUUCGGAUUGUAAAGCACUUUAAGUUGGGAGGAAGGGCAGUAAGUUAAUGCCUUGCUGUUUUGACGUUACCAACAGAAUAAGCACCGGCUAACUUCGUG
rnacentral:rRNA from 1 species